AUAUAUAUAUAUAUAUAUAUAUGCACUAGAAGACACUAAUCUUACUGAGUUCAGAUAAUGUUAACGUGUAAAUUUCAGCAACUAAAUUGAAAUUUACUUGUUGCUAUUUGUGAAAAUGUUUUAUUAAGCUAACUACAAUUUGAAACUUUUAGAGUAAAAGUAGGGGUAGUAAAUGUAGAAGAACAUUUUUAAUAAUAAGGUAACACUGUUAUUCAAGUUUUAAAAACAUUAGUUUGACAUUAGUCUUAAAGUAUUAGAAAGAUACUAAGAUAUCUCCAAACUUAACAAAAAAAGAGAAGUAUGAGUCAAUCAUUCUAGAUUUGUUCAGAUUUGUUGUGCCUUAAAAGGAAAAUUUAUCCAUAAAUGCAUAAAAUAAUUUGUUGUACUAAUUUAUUACAAUGAUAAAUGGUAAAUAGUGGCAUAAAAUUCCAAUUUACUUACAUCACAAAAUUACAAAUUGCCUUUCAAAAUUCUAUAAAUUUAUAUGGUCAUAAUGUUAAUGAAAUUUAUGUUAUCUCAAAACAUCACUGAUUAGUUAUAAUUCAGUGAGAUAUAAGAACAACAUAUGAGAGAAUUACAGACGUCAUUGAGGAAAUCCCGCCUCCUCUCACCACCCACCUGAAUCUUGAGAUCUCACUGUUACUGAAGCUGAGAAACACAUUCAAACCAGCUGAGUCUUAGGGCCCUUCUGUGGAUGCGGAUUGUGGUCCCUAAGACAUGUAAGAAGGCAUGCUGUCAGUCAUCUCCCUCCAGGGCCCUUAACUGUCAUGUCACCUGUAGGUGCAGGGUGGCCCUGGCCCUGGCAUUGUUGGAAAGGGGAACCUCAUAAGAGAAAACGGAAUUUACCUAAUCUCUGGGAAAAAAACAGAGUAGCAACAGCUGGGUCUCAAAUUUUAUGUGUGAGCUCAUUUUCUUAGGUAAUCUUUCCCAGGUGGGUUGUCUGGUCUCAGUCGUUGUCAACAAAACAGAAGUUUUAAAAUAACUCUAAUUUUCAACUUUUUUUUUCAUUUCCAUGUCAUAUUAUUCAGUGUAUCUUUGCUGACUGAGAUUUCAAGGGCACAGGUCGCCUAUAUACCACUUUUUUGGAAAUGAAGAAAAUCCCCCCUGUGCCAGAUCUACAUAGGUGAAGAGCUCUGUCACCCAGAGGUCGUGGCCUUGAGACAGGGCACCUGGCAUAGAAAGCGGAAUGCAAAGCAAGUGAGAAUUCAUUGAGAAGCUGUCAGUCUGCAUCCUGGAAGUGGGCCCUCACCAAACCCUACCAUGGUGGCACCCUGAUCUUAGACUUUCAGCCUCCAAAACAGUGAGAAAUAAAUUUCUGUUAUUUAAACACCACCCAGUCUGUGGAACAGCAGCCCAAACGGACUAAGACAGUAAGUACAUCGGAAAUGCGGAGUCUGUAAAAGGUAAACAUUUGGCCAGUCCUCUGAUAAGGCUGGAACGUCCAAGUACAAACACAAGGCUAACCUGGAGGAAGACGAGAAGGAGUGACUGAAAGCUGGGGCAGAGCGCCGCCCCGUGGUGAUGCCUGCUCCAAGUCUCAGCAGUCCCUGGGGCCCGCUGGCGUCACACUUCGUCACAGACACAGGUUCCAGGACUGACCACCCCUGGUCUGAAAGUCCUUACAUUCUCUGUGUGUGUCCUCUGAGGGCUGAGGAUAGUGUCCUCUCACCCUACUGCUUGUAUCCAAAGCCAGGACAUUUGGGGACCAGAAAAAACCCUAAUCCUUCCUCAUGUUUCUCCCUGCAGGUCCCAGGAUAUAAAUGUGGAAAACACGUCUCAGAAACAGUCUUGCUUCCCUGAAGUUCUUAAGAUUCAAUAGGCAUGUUAAAAAAUAUCAGAGUUCUGGCUCAUAUUCAUUGGAGACUGGAAAUGCACAGAGCCACCUUGAGAUGUCCCCAGGUCACCCGAUAUCCUCCAAAAUGCCUAUUCCUCUUAUGUCGUGUUAUGCGCCAACUCCUGGUGUCUCAGACCUCCCCACACUACCUUCUGAUUCAAGUGCUUUGUGGAUGACUCUGCAGGAAAUCAGCGAUGGCAACUCACCUGUGCUGCCAUCCCUUUUUACCUACUUUCCUCCAUUCCAAUUUUUAUCCUCAAGCUAAGCUUUUAGAGUUGACACUUUAGUUAAAUGUCAAUUUCCCAAAUUGAAAGUCUUCACAAAUGGUUAAAACCAAAAGACAAUAAAUACAUUAAAGAUGGGCAUACUCUA